GGGAGGAAAGGGUGAGGGCCAGGGUGGCUCUGGAGCAAAUGGGACUAUAACUGGGAAGGCUUGCCCCAAAGGGUUGUACGGUACCUUUUGUGAGUAGUACACUCUGUUUUGAAGUAUUAACUCUGUAAAGCUAGUGAAGCAAUUAGAGACAUCUAAAGAAGCAAAAGCUAGAGGAGCUAACUCAUUUCACGACUCUAAGGAGGUUUUUCUCUCCUAUCACUUCAAUCUUCAGAGCGCCGACACAAUUGAAGCCAGAUGUACGCUCCACAGCUUCAAGAGCUACACGAAGCUCGAUGCUGUCGAAAAUGACGAUUUCUCUUCCACCGGCGCCUUCAAUCCUGAUAGAGUUGGUGUGAUUUUUAUUUGUUUGUGAAGUUGAAGAUAGUGGAAAGCAGGAAUCUCUGGAGGCAUUGACCUCGCAGGUAAAUAAAUCGGCUCACUUUGCAAGAUUCGCCCCAAGCUCAAGAUAUUGAUAAAAGAAUUCGUGCUCUCAAAAAGAAGAUAAGUGACAUGGUUGCUAUUGCAAAAAUUAUGAAAGCCACUUUGGUUUUGCCUACAUUGGAUCAUGAUUCCUUUUGGACAGAUUCUAGGUUGAUAAAAGUCUGAUCACAGCGGGAUAAAAGUCACUGAAAAGCAGAAGAAGGUUGUUGUAACUUUUCAAAGGCCAUGUUACAACAGAUUUCUAACUUUGUGCAGCAUAGCAUAAUAAUAAGUUCAUGUAUAUUUAAUUAAAAAUUAUAAUCAGCAAAGAGUGUAAUUAGAAACUAGUUUUAUUAUUAUUAUAUGACAUUUACCUACAGAAGACUGUAAGUACAAGUAAA